rnacentral:lncRNA from 1 species
AUGUUCUCAUUGUAUAUAUCUUUCUCAUCAGCCAUCCUGCCUGAAACUCAGGAAACACAGGGUCCCUGGCUAUGUGAUAUGAGUAGACUUGAAAAGUACCUUGUUCUUAUUUGGCAACCCAGAUGGAUGAAUAUUGGCCCUGAAGUUGCUUUUCUUAAAACUCUACCCAGAGCCAAAGCCUGUGCAGUGUAUCAACACCCAUCCUUCCAACUGUGCCUGUAUCAGGUUUGACCUCGUGGAGAAAUAAUUUGCUAGAGGAAGUACAGAUGCUUUGAUCAGCCUCUGGGAUGUGGACGAGUUAGUGUGGUGUGAUUCUUUUCCAGGUAAGCAACUCUGCUAGCAUUUUCCUGUUGGAUAAUUACUUUUAUUUCAUCCUGAAUGAACUUGUGCCCUUCUCUUAUUGUUUAUACUAUGGGAAUUCUAAUUUGCCUUCUUUCCACCCUGUAUUAUAGGCUGCACUGGCCUGGUAGGACCUUCAGUUUUAGCCAUGAGGGGAAAAUGCUGGCAUCAAUAUAAGAAGAUCAUUCUAUUAACAUUGCUGAAGUAGAGACAGGUAACCAAAACCCCUGCUACCUUAGUGAGAAUCUUAUAUCUUUCAUCCUGGGAUAUCAGGACUUGCUGAGUGUCAUAUGUUUUCAUCUCUUCAUGUUGUUACUUCACCAGCAUUAGCAUAAAUGAAUUUGUCUCCUUAAGACAAGUUUGUUUAUGUUAUGACUGUCACUGCCAGGUAAUGAGGGAGAAAAGUGUUUGAAAAGAAAGUGGCAGGUCUCAAGGAAAGUUAUGUAUGAAAAAAAUCUUACAUUUUAAUAACUUUGAAUUUUUCCAUUAUAAAGACUUUUUUAAAAUGCAGAAAGUAGGAGAAAGAAAGAAGAGUUACCUAUGGUGUCAUCAUCUAGAGAUCACCUGUUGUAAUAGGUAUUUAUUUUGAGCUUUUUCUCUAUAUAAAUUUAAACAAAUAUAUCUCUCAUGUAAUUUAGGAAAUUAUCAAAAUAGCUAUUCUUUGCCUUUAACCCCCCAAAUAAAACAGAGCUUGAAAAUGGAAAAAUGGGAGAU